rfam:Domibacillus antri strain XD80 WGS_contig_14, whole genome shotgun sequence.
GAACGCCGUAUGACACCGAAAGGGUCACGUAUGGUGUGGGACGGGGGAAAAGCUGGAGAUGAUUUCAAAGGCUUACCUAUCGUCAU